rnacentral:misc_RNA from 1 species
AUAAGAUCGUAUAAUGUUCAUCACUCAGCAAUUCACUAGAAGUUACUGUGUGAUUAGAAGUUCCCUCGGCAAAAAUAGGUCUUUUAUAGUGCGGAAGAAGCAGCAGCAAGAAUCCUAAUAAUGGAUGAAUUACAUAGUGCUUUGCUUAUCACUUGGCUAUCUUAGCUGUGAGUUCUCUUACCAACUUAGCAGCAACCAUGGCUGUCAUCCCAUCGACAGUGUCUCGCUGAGGGUUGAACUCAACAACAUCUGCGCCCACGAUAUCCCCUUUCAGAUUGUGGAUGAUGUUCAUUAUAUCACGGAACGACAAACCUCCUGGUUCAAUAUGAGACACUCCAGGAGCAAAUGCUGGAUCGAGAGAGUCGACGUCUAUUGAAAUGUAA